rnacentral:lncRNA from 1 species
CCUUAAUUCCUUUCUUGUAACCAUUAAACACAAAGCAUGUGAUUGUUGCAACUGCCAGCCAUUUUUCUGCCUCGGCUAUGCAUAAACAUGGCCACACUACAGACUUCUUGGUCUGAACUUUGUGUUUUCUGGCUUAAAUUUCCAAAACAAAAUGUAUUACUCCUCAACUUGAGUUCACAAUCAAGGUCAGCUUUCAAUGCUUGUUUUAUACUUAGGAGGAAAAAAAAAGAGUAGGAGUGAAGUUAUAUAGGUGCAUAACAAGUUUCUCUGAGACUAAACCCCAAUAUCUUUGAAACUUUUUGGUUACCCACUGAGAAAGUAGGAUGAGAAGGGAGGAAGACAUUGCUAUUUUAAACCUGCCAACAGAUUUCGUUUCUUUGGAUAGAAGUAUGCCUUUAUCUUUCAGAGAUGAAUUUUUCCCUCUGGUUUUUGGAGAAGUCAUUCCGGGGGACGUCUUCAAGUUACACAAAUUUAAGACCAAGCUCAUACUUCGGGAUGAAUUGGUAAAAGGAGAAGCUGAGCUGCUCUGCAUUAAAAAGUAGAUGUUGUUUUCUUCUCAUACAAAGUGUUGUAUCUUUUAGAUUAAACUUUAAUACAUAUUCUGUUCGUUUUCUCUGGGGUCUUGAUUCCAGGGCAUGAAAAAUUCUUGGCAGAGGCUUUCUGUGUUGAAGAGGAAAGCUGAUUCCAGCAACAUGGUGGCAGAUGUGCUGAAAUCAAGAGAAACCUCUCCUAGAGAUCUGUGCAGAGGCCUAUAAACUCUGGAAGUAGUCCAA